CUUAUUCAAAGAAUUUGACAAUUCUCUAUCAAAUAAAGAAAACUACAUUCAGGAAAAACUAAAUGAAAAAGAAAAAGUGAUCUCAGGACAGAAAUCAGAAAUAGAACGACUGGAGAAGAAAAACAAAACUUUGGAGUACAAGAUUGAGAUUUUGGAGAAAACAACUACGAUCUAUGAAGAAGAUAAGCGCAAUCUGCAGCAGGAGCUUGAAAGCCAGCAUCAGAAGCUCCAGCGGGAGUUUUCUGACAAGCGCAGAUUAGAAGCCAGGUUGCAAGGCAUGGUGACAGAAACGACGAUGAAGUGGCAGAAGGAAUGUGAGCGUCGGGUGGCAGCCACCCAGCUAGAGAUGCAGAACAAACUCUGGGUCAAAGAUGAAAAGCUCAAACAGCUGAAGGCCAUUGUGACUGAACCCAAACCUGAGAAGCCAGAGAGACCCUCCCGGGACCGGGACCGGGAGAAAAUCAUUCAGAGAUCUGUCUCUCCUUCACCUGUGCCUAACACACCAAUUCCUGUACGACACAGAAGGUCCCGCUCUGCAGGGAGCAGAUGGGUAGAUCAUAAGCCUGCCUCUAAUGUGCAAACUGAGACAGUCAUGCAGCCACAUGUCCCUCAUGCCAUCACAGUGUCUGUUNNNNNNNNNNNNNNNAUAUAGAAGUGUGAGAAGUACAUGCUGACCCACCAG
rnacentral:lncRNA from 1 species